rnacentral:rRNA from 1 species
UACGGGGGGGGCAAGCGUUAUCCGGAUUCACUGGGUUUAAAGGGUGCGUAGGAGGGCAGGUAAGUCAGUGGUGAAAUCUCCAAGCUUAACUUGGAAACUGCCGUUGAUACUAUCUGUCUUGAAUAUUGUGGAGGUGAGCGGAAUAUGUCAUGUAGCGGUGAAAUGCUUAGAUAUGACAUAGAACACCAAUUGCGAAGGCAGCUCACUACUCAAUCAUUGACUCUGAGGCACGAAAGCGUGGGGAGCGAACAGG